rnacentral:rRNA from 1 species
UACGUAGGGUGCGAGCGUUAAUCGGAAUUACUGGGCGUAAAGCGUGCGCAGGCGGUUUUGUAAGCCAGAUGUGAAAUCCCCGGGCUUAACCUGGGAAUGGCAUUUGGGACUGCAAGGCUUGAGUGCGGCAGAGGAGACUGGAAUUCCUGGUGUAGCAGUGAAAUGCGUAGAUAUCAGGAGGAACACCGAUGGCGAAGGCAGGUCUCUGGGCGUGACACUCGACGCUCAUGCACGAAAGCGUGGGGAGCAAACAGG